GUGUCAGCAGCCGCGGUAAGACGAAGGAUGCAAGCGUUAUCCGGAUUCAUUGGGUUUAAAGGGUGCGUAGGCGGCCUAAUAAGUCAGUGGUGAAAUCUCCUCGCUUAACGAGGAAACUGCCAUUGAUACUGUUGGGCUUGAGUACAGAUGCUGUGGGCGGAAUAUGACAUGUAGUGGUGAAAUACAUAGAGAUGUCAUAGAACACCGAUUGCGAAGGCAGCUCACAAAACUGUAACUGACGCUGAGGCACGAAAGUGCGGGGAUCAAACAGGAUUAGAUACCCCAGUAGUCC
rnacentral:rRNA from 1 species